CCCAGACUCCUACGGGAGGCAGCAGUGGGGAAUAUUGCACAAUGGGGGGAACCCUGAUGCAGCGACGCCGCGUGGGUGAAGGAGUACUUCGGUACGUAAAGCCCUAUCAGCAGGAAAGAAAAUGACGGUACCUGACUAAGAAGCCCCGGCUAACUACGUGCCAGCAGCCGCGGUAAUACGUAGGGGGCAAGCGUUAUCCGGAUUUACUGGGUGUAAAGGGAGCGUAGACGGCAGUGCAAGUCCGGAGUGAAAGCCCGGGGCUCAACCCUGGGACUGCUCUGGAAACUGUAAAGCUGGAGUGCGGGAGGGGCAGGCGGAAUUCCUGGUGUAGCGGUGAAAUGCGUAGAUAUCAGGAGGAACACCGGCGGCGAAGGCGGCCUGCUGGACCGUAACUGACGUUGAGGCUCGAAAGCGUGGGGAGCAAACAGGAUUAGAUACCCCCGUACCA
rnacentral:rRNA from 1 species